AUUGAACGCUGGCGGCAUGCCUUACACAUGCAAGUCGAACGGCAGCACGGGUGCUUGCACCUGGUGGCGAGUGGCGAACGGGUGAGUAAUACAUCGGAACAUGUCCUGUAGUGGGGGAUAGCCCGGCGAAAGCCGGAUUAAUACCGCAUACGAUCUACGGAUGAAAGCGGGGGACCUUCGGGCCUCGCGCGAUAGGGUUGGCCGAUGGCUGAUUAGCUAGUUGGUGGGGUAAAGGCCUACCAAGGCGACGAUCAGUAUCUGGUCUGAGAGGACGACCAGCCACACUGGGACUGAGACACGGCCCAGACUCCUACGGGAGGCAGCAGUGGGGAAUGUUGGACAAUGGGCGAAAGCCUGAUCCAGCAAUGCCGCGUGUGUGAAGAAGGCCUUCGGGUUGUAAAGCACUUUUGUCCGGAAAGAAAUCCUUGGCCCUAAUACGGUCGGGGGAUGACGGUACCGGAAGAAUAAGCACCGGCUAACUACGUG
rnacentral:rRNA from 1 species